rnacentral:rRNA from 1 species
AGUGAACGCUGGCGGUAGGCCUAACACAUGCAAGUCGAACGGCAGCACAGUAAGAGCUUGCUCUUACGGGUGGCGAGUGGCGGACGGGUGAGGAAUACAUCGGAAUCUACUUUUUCGUGGGGUAACGCAGGGAAACUUACGCUAAUACCGCAUACGACCUACGGGUGAAAGCACGGGAUCUUCUCACCUUUUGCGCUUUAAUGAGCCGAUGUCGGAUUAGCUAGUUGGCGGGGUAAAGGCCCACCAAGGCGACGAUCCGUAGCUGGUCUGAGAGGAUGAUCAGCCACACUGGAACUGAGACACGGUCCAGACUCCUACGGGAGGCAGCAGUGGGGAAUAUUGGACAAAGGGCGCAAGCCUGAUCCAGCCAUACCGCGUGGGUGAAGAAGGCCUUCGGGUUGUAAAGCCCUUUUGUUGGGAAAGAAAAGCAGCAGGUUAAUACCCCGCUGUUCUGACGGUACCCAAAGAAUAAGCACCGGCUAACUUCGUG